CCAAUAGCGUAUAUUAAAGUUGUUGCAGUUAAAAAGCUCGUAGUUGAAUUUCGGAAUCUGUCCGUUGGUCGGGCUUCAUUGUCCGUACUGGUGUGAUGGGUUCUUACCUUCUGAAUAACCAGCAUGCCAUUCAUUUGGUGCGCUGGGGAAGCAGGACUAUUACCUUGAAAAAAUUAGAGUGCUCAAAGCAGGCUAGUGCCUGAAUACAUUAGCAUGGAAUAAUAAAAUAGGACGGCAUGGUUCUAUUUUGUUGGUUUCUAGGAUCACCGUAAUGAUUAAUAGGGAUAGUUGGGGGCAUUAGUAUUCAAUUGUCAGAGGUGAAAUUCUUGGAUUUAUUGAAGACUAACUUCUGCGAAAGCAUUUGCCAAGGAUGUUUUCAUUAAUCAAGAACGAAAGUUAGGGGAUCGAAGACGAUCAGAUACCGUCGUAGUCUUAACCAUAAACUAUGCCGACUAGGGAUCGGACGAUGUUAAUUUUUUAAUGACUCGUUCGGCGCCUUAC
rnacentral:rRNA from 1 species